GGUGAGUGUGUGUGGCUGCUACCUGCACCUGGGGGAGAGGCGGGCACGCGUCUUGGUGAGCGAGGCCACCACCUGAGGCUGCCAGACGCCCAGCCGAGUGCCAGGUGCCGGCGACAGGUAAGUGUGAGCGCGUCCACCACCUGCCUCGCUGCAAAAACUGGUGACUGAAAGUAAAGAAGCGGGGACGGGCGGUCUUUUCAUCCCUUCGUCUACCGCCGCAAAAAGAAUGAAUUUCCACCAGGCCAGAACAAGCAACCAGGACAGAACAAGAAAUAACGGGUUCAAGCUUGAAAAAUUUAGGUUUAAGAAAGAGAUAGGAAGAAAUUGAUUCUCAAAUAGAGUGGUAGAUGAAUGGAACGGACUCAGUAAUCAAGUUGUUAGUGCUAAGACAUUAGGGAGCUUUAAGAGAAGAUUAGACGGGUUUAUGGAUGGGGAUGAUAGGUGGAAAUAGGUAGGUAUAUUUCAUAAGGGGACUGCCACGUGUAAGCCUGGUCGCUUCUUGCAGCUUCCCUUAUUUCUUAUGUUCUUAUGUUCUUAUGUUCCACCGCCAUAAAAAAAUUAAAUUAUACAAGAUUUAUCAUCUACAGGUUUGCUAUGACAAUGCAGUAUAUUAAACUAAAUUGAUACUCACCACAACAUAAUAGAUUAGAAAUGAACGUAUACAACAGCAGAUUUAAAUGGAAAACGUUACUGUCAUACUAUUGAUAAUCUUUACAGUCUUCUUAGGACAUUUAAUUUAAAGUGAUUAGUGUAUUAACCAGCGACACACCCGGGUACAUUGAAUUUUACUUACCAAUUGCAUAUUUAGACAAACUUUUAAUCAUAGAUAUUGAAUAACCUAACAUCACCUCACUUACGAAUCAUAAUGUCCCACGUAAGAGAGAGAAAAUAAUUAUUCCUAUCAAGUGUGAGAAUUUGAAGUAUCAGCCGGUUCUCUUAGGCUUAGAUCCCCCCACGUUAGUAUUGCAACGCUGCCUCAACCACAUAAUCUGAUACCUGUAUAGAGUUGGAAGCCAGGCGCUGCACUGUAUACUGAGAAGCGAAGAGGUCUUGCCGCUGAGUUGUGUUGAGAUAAGAAUGCUUCCGGGGUCUUGUGCGCAAAAGUUCCCCGCUGUGAACCCGAGCAUCUUGUGGCGGCGUUUUUGCUUGCUGUGAUGGUAGAGAGGAUGGGGGUGAACUGCAAGCUGACGGGAUGGAGGGAGAAGAUGUGGAUGGAAUGAAAGAGUGAAAGACGUUUGAAGAGGAAAGAUUAAAAAAGUAAACUGAUAAAUGAAAUUGGAAGGAAAGAGUGCUAGGAGGAGAAGGAGGAGGAGAAAUGAAAAAGUAGAAGUAGACGGAAGAAACGGUAGAGAAAAGUAAAUAAAAAGCAAAAAGGAGAAUAAAAGGAAGAAGGUGGAGAACAGGAAUCAGGAGGGAUGAAGGAAGGAAAGGUGGGAGCAGGAGCUGGCAUGCAAAGAGAAGAUUAUAGGCAGAAAAACGGAGGCGGCAGAGAGGCAAAGGGAAGCAAAAGGGAUAGAGGAAGGAGAGACGGACGGAAGGGAGGGAUGAAAGGCAGAAAAAUAGAGAACGAGGAGCAAAAGAAGGAAGAAGGAAAAGAGGAAAGAGGAGGGGAGGAAGUGGGAAUGCUGUAGGUAGAAAGAGAGGAGUGUAGAGAGCCAUGUAGCUGCCUCCUGGACUCUGCCUGCUGCUGGGGUGAAAAUGGAAAGGAAGGAGAGGCGGAGAGGCUGAUGCGAGGACAUGUGGUGAGAGAGAAGGAGGGUGGCGUCAGUACUGCCCAAAAGUGAGGGAGUUUGUACCACCGGCAGUGAAUCAGUUGUGGUAGUUUCAAAUGUUUCUGGCUGAUUUAUUUAUUUAUUAUUUUUUUCCCUUCUUUUUUUUCUGUCUGUCUGUCUGUCUGUCUGUCUGGUUGAAUGUAUAUAUGUGUGUAGGUAUAUAUAUUUUUUUGGUAUUUGGUUUCUUAUAUCUUAUUGUGAAUUACUUUUUUUUUUUGUUAUAGUUAGUUUGUAUGUAUAAUGUACGCAUGUGUAUGCAUCUUGUAUCUUAUAUUCGUUUGUAUUUCAUGUAUUGUGUAUCGUUAAUAUUCUAAAAAUGAAUUGAGUAACUGUCUGGCUAUCUGAUCUGUAUAUAUCUGUGUAUGCACAUAUAUUUGGCUGUAUCUUUCAGUCUGUAUGUAUGAAUAAACACUUGAAUUAAUGAGCAUGCGUGUA